UACGAAGGGGGCUAGCGUUGCUCGGAUUGACUGGGCGUAAAGGGCGCGUAGGCGGUUCGUUCAGUCAGACGUGAAAUUCCUGGGCUCAACCUGGGGGCUGCGUUUGAUACGUGCGGACUUGAGUGCGGAAGAGGGUCGUGGAAUUCCCAGUGUAGAGGUGAAAUUCGUAGAUAUUGGGAAGAACACCGGUGGCGAAGGCGGCGACCUGGUCCGAUACUGACGCUGAGGCGCGAAAGCGUGGGGAGCAAACAGG
rnacentral:rRNA from 1 species